AAAGAAAGAAAACACCCAUGGCAUUUAGGGUUGCGGCACUUUACUAGCUUGAUUAAGGUAUGAAAUUAUUUCUGUUUUUGAUAAUUUUUACGUUUUUGAGAUCGUUGCUUUGAAUACUUCGAAACCCAUGUAUUAAUUUUGUGAAUUGUUGAUGAUUUUGAAAUGUGCCAUUGAUGAAUGUUUGAGUUUUGUCAUGUUAGUUGAUGAAAUAUGAAAUAUAUGUAUUAGAUUAACAUGUUUUGUCUUUAAAUUUUUAGUGAAUUUGUGUAAUUAGAGUUAAAUUGUGAAAAUAAAUUUUUGAAGGACUAAAAUAUGAAAUAAAUGCAAUGUGUGGACUUGUAUGAGAACCAUGAAUAUUCGGCUCUUGUGUGGUAUGGGCAAAUUUUGUGUAUUUUGUGUUUUGUGCAAAAAGGACUAAAUUGCAAAAAGUGCAAAAUAUUAGGGGCAAAAUGGUAAUUUUCCCAUUUAUGUAUUUUUGGACUUAAUUGAAUGUUUUUAUGAAUAAAAAGGUUAAAUUUGAUUAUGUUUAGAUCAAGAAACGAAGAAAACGAAUUUGGAUCGGGGAAAAACGAAAGUAAUCGAAUAGUCGAUCGUGUCUGCUAAUAUCCGAGGUAAGUCUAUUAGCAACUAAAAAUUAUUAAGUUAAUAUUUAUACAUGCAUAUUAAUUGUAUUUUAUGUUAAGUUAUAAUUGAAAGUAUAUUAGUUGAAUAAAUUUUGAAGUGUAGAUUUUAUAUAUAUAAUAAUCGAAUAUACAAGUAUGAUCUUGUAUAAAUUCAUGGUUUGAAAUGAAGAUAUGAAAUGUAAUCAAGAAUAGGUGAUGUUCGAAUAAGCAUGAAUAUAUAUAUAAAUUUAUUUUCUUGAAAUUAGGUAAGAAAGUUAUAUAUAUAUACAUAAGAUAGAUCAAAUUUAUAUAUGUGAAUACAUGAUUAAGUCUUGAAUUUAGACAAAGAUAUGUAUAUAUAUUAUGUAUAAUACUCGAAUAUAUAUAUACGUAUAUACAAGUAUAAACUCUUGGAUUGGAUUAAAAAUAUGUAACUUAUAAUUGUAUAUGUAUAGUUUCGAAUAGGUAUAUACAUAUAUAUAUAUGUGAGUUAUAAUUUAUUUGUAUAUGCUGUACUCGAAUGAGCAUGUUUACAUAUAUAUAUGUCCUUUUAUUGAAUUUAAUUAGGACAUUUAUAUAAGCUUAUAUGAAGUUUCGAUUAUGUAUGUAUGUUCAUGUAAAAGUUCUUAAAUGGAAGUGAAGAUAUGAAUUUAUCAAUUUGGAUCAUUAUAAAGUGAUCGAAUGUAAUACAGACUUUACGUCUAGCAGGCUUGAUGCCGAUGAAGUAAUUCAGACUUUACGUCUAGCAGGCUUAAUGCCGGUGAUACAUUUCGGACUAUAGGUCUAGCAGGCUAAAAGCCGGUGUACUGAAUCAGGUUUUAAAACCUAGCAGGCUAAGUGCCGGUGAAUCUAUUAAAUUAUGUGAAAAUAUGAAAUUGUUAUAUCUAUGAUUUUGGUUAUAUGAAAUCGAUGAAUACAUAAACAUUAGGUUUUUAUAUGCUUGGUGAGUACACAUCUACAUUCCGGUUUUGCUUUGGUUAAACAUAAUUGUAUGCAUUUGGUGGAUACAAAUAAUAAAGGCAUAUGUACAUUAGGUAUAUGCGGUUGUUAAAUACAUAUAAGUCGAGCCUAUGUGUUUGAUAAUUAUUUAUGUAUGCAAUUGGGAUAUAUAUAUAAAUGUACUCAUUUAAAUGUAUAUGAUGAAUAUGUAUAUAUAUAUUCGAAUGUAUGUAUUAGUUAUGUAUUCGAAUAUGUAUAUAUAUUCGAAUGUAGGUAUUAGCUAUGUAUUUAGGUAUAAAUUCAAAUGAGUCUAUAUAUAUAUAAACGAAUAUAAUAGGUGAUUGGUAUAUAUGAGUAUGAUCAAUUUUAUGCACAUGAUAAGUACAUAUGUGAAUUCGAAAGUGUGCAAGUAAUAAAGUGUAUAUACAUUCGGUUUUAAUUGUUGAUAAUUAUGUAUGCAUUUGUCUAUAAGUAAUUGUUAAUAUAUAUAUUUGUUGUUAUGCUAUAGACUUACUAAGCUAUAAAAGCUUACUUUGUUUGUUUUCGUCCAUUUGAUUUUAUAGAUUUUGGAGACGCGUUACGAGCUCGAGGAUCAUCAGCAUAGUCCAUCACACUAUCGACUUCUUUUGGUAUUUUGUUAAAUAUUUGAACUUAAUCUUAUGGCAUGUAUAUGUUUGAGUACGAUGUUAAUUACAUUUUGAUUGUAAAUUAUAAUAGCUAUGCGAAAGUAAUUAAA
rnacentral:lncRNA from 1 species